GUUCACACAUCCAAAGAUGAAGAGAGUGAGCCACUGUUACCGCGUCGAGUACCGUCACAUGGAGAGGACCCUGACGCAGGAAGAAGUGUGUAUCAUCCACAGAGCCAUUGAGCAGGCAGCCGAAAAAGAGCUCGGAGUGCAGGGAAGAUACUGAGCUCUCUCUCUCUUUAACCAUCAUGACAAUCUUCCACCUCCCGCGAUGAGAUUCACAGAUGUAGUCACAUGUCUCUGUGGUGGUAAAUAAAAUGUGGAAACUCUCAGCAACAACUGCACUUGUUGGAGACUCCAUCUGUAGUUUCUUAAAGGAACACUUCACCCAAACACGAAAAUAAUGUCAUUGUUUACUCACCAUCAUGUCUGUCUAAAUCUAUAAGGAGAAUUUUGAAGAAUCUGUAUGUAGAUUUUUUCCAAGUAGCAACAUCAUAAAAGGGAUAGUUCAGCCAAGAAAGAAAAUUCUGUCAUCAUUUACUCUUUUACUCAUCUGUCAUCAUUACUGUCAUCAUUUGUCAUUUCAAACCUGUAUUGACUGUUUAAUCUGCAGAACAUGCAAGAAGAUAUUUUUUGAAGAGCGUUGGUAACCAAAAGGUUUUGGUGACCAUUGAUUUCCAUUGCAUUGACUAUUGCCUUACAUUUUCAUUUUUUGGCAAACCGUCUCUUUAAAACUCAAUAGUUGAGCUCAAGAUGACUAUAGUUUUGAUGCUUUUACGGAGAUUUUAUGGUAUGUUUUUGGAUCUUGACAAAAAUGGUCACUAUAAACUGUGACUGCAAUAAAACAUUAUUCAGUUUGAAAUAGGAGUGAGUAAAUAAUGACAAUUGCAAUUUAGGGAAAAUCAUGCCUUAAACAUUUGCAAGAUUUGACCUUGAAAUGACCUUUUGGGUCAUAAUACCCUCUCUAGGCCUGAUUGAUUCGUCCCACUUCCCAGGCUGGCACUAGCUUUAUCAUGAUACAAACCGCCGAAUUAAACACAAAUAUCAAACAGGCCUUCUAAGUAUCUGGAUCCAUGCCAGCAUGGUGAUAAGAAGGAAACGAGCUCUCAUUUCCACAUUUCUGUUUUCUUAAGGAAGAUAUGUAAUGAGCUGCUGCCCAGAAAUUACCAAGAUAAUGAAACGCUUCCUCAAAGUCACUCCACAGUAAAAUGGCAAACAGGAGGCUAACAGGUCAUCGUUUGUGGUAGAAAAUAAAAGUAUG